UAAGAUAAACAAAUAAAAGCAAACCCCAGUAAAUGUAACCAUAUUACAUCUACACUAAGAAAACGGAAACUACCAAAUAUCCAAUUGAAUGGCACGCACAUAACACAAACAAGAGACCUUGGGUACACCUGUAGAAAUAAAGUGCCAAAAAUCCCCAUUGAUUCCAUGGGUGCUAAAAAAGUUAUUCAAGGUCAAAGUAAAAAUUUUCGGAUCUUUUGAAUUUUUCUUGAAAACG
rnacentral:misc_RNA from 1 species